CAUUAUGGUCAUACCCUUAGUGGGCGAAAAAAAACAUUCGUAAAAUCGCUGUCGUCGAUCGAACGCUGUAUUUUUUUCCAGUGCAAUAUUCGGCCGAUGAAUAAAGAGUGAUUGAAUUGAAGUACUCCCUUAAAGAUAAUAUACAUAUAAUUAAUAAAUAAAGUCAACAAGAACAGCAGCAAAAAGAGAGAGCGGUGAAACACAAUAAGAAUUGCUGCCGUUGAGGUGUGUGCGUAUACGUGUGUGUGUUUGUGUGCCUGUGUGACGUUUACAGUAGCAAAAAGUUCGGUGGUGUCGUCAAAAUUUUCGAGUAUUUUAAAGUUAAUGCAAACGAUUCUCGAUCGGAUAUGAGUUGAUCGCGAGUCAUCGAUCUAAUCGGAUGUGGCAAAAGUCUGGCUGAGGAAAUCGAGAAGAAAAAACACCAUAAACAACGGCAAUUUGUUGCUGCCGCAACAAUAGCAGCAGCAGCAGCACACUAACACCACCCCCCGUUUCAGCCUAACGGUUCAUUCACAGUGGCCGCAGAAGCAGAAGAAGAAGACGAGUGUCUGCGAAUUGGGAGCAUCAUGUGGCGGUUUUAGAAGAACUGCCAAAGGACUAAAAACACUGCUUAUUGAGAGGAAUAUUAGAACAAGAUCUUGUUGUUGGCAAGGUUAAGCUUAGAGGGCCUGAAGAUCCAGACGAGAAGAAGAGUAUAGACUGAGGAAACGGAGCCGCGUCGUCGUUCUGCGUCAGAAGAUGACCCUGACCACAACGACCACUGCCUCAUCAGCCGAGAGCCAAGCGAAAAUGGAUGUGGUGAAGGGCGGAGCACUACCCGGUGAAGAGAAUCUGCCCACCUCCGAGAUGGAUCUGCUGGCCAAGCUGGAGGCGGCCAACAAGCUCAUCGAGAGCGAUGCCAAGUCCCUUAACUCUCUCCACUCCACGCACAGUCGCAAGAACUCGGACACGAGUCAGAUUAGCCUAACGUCGAGUGGAAACUCGGUGGCCGAAGAGGACAUCUGGACGACGUGGGCCACCAUCCUGAAUGACUGGGAGGGAGCUCUCAAGCGAAAGAAUCCCUGCGUCAAUGAGCUAGUGCGUCGUGGUAUUCCCCAUCACUUCCGAGCGAUCGUCUGGCAGCAGCUGAGUGGAGCGGCCGAGGCGGACAAGAAGCAGUAUGCGGAGUACAUUAAGGCCACGAGUGCCUGCGAGAAGGUGAUCAGGCGGGACAUUGCCCGUACGUAUCCCGAGGUGGAGUUCUUCAAGGAGAAGGAUGGUCCCGGGCAGGAGGCACUCUUCAAUGUGAUCAAGGCAUAUUCCUUGCACGAUCGAGAGGUUGGCUAUUGCCAGGGUUCGGGCUUCAUUGUGGGUCUGCUGCUGAUGCAAAUGCCCGAGGAGGAGGCCUUCGCCGUGCUCGUGCAGAUCAUGCAACAGCAUCGAAUGCGUCACAUGUUCAAGCCCUCCAUGUCGGAGCUGGGCCUGUGCAUGUACCAGCUGGAGAAUCUGGUGCAGGAGCAGAUACCCGACAUGCACAUUCACUUCCAGCAGCAGGGCUUCCAAACGACCAUGUACGCCUCCAGUUGGUUCCUCACCCUGUACACGACCACUCUGAAUGUCAAUCUAAGUUGUCGCAUCAUGGACGUCUUCCUCAGCGAGGGCAUGGAGUUCAUAUUCAAGGUAGCUCUGGCCCUGCUUCUCACUGGGAAGGAAACGCUGCUCUGCCUGGACAUGGAGGCCAUGCUUAAGUUCUUCCAAAAGGAGCUGCCCGGUCGUGUGGAGGCCGAUGUCGAGGGCUUCUUUAAUUUGGCCUACUCCCUUAAGCUGAAUACCAAGCGGAUGAAGAAGAUGGAGAAGGAGUACCAGGACCUCAAGAAGAAGGAGCAGGAGGAGAUGGCUGAGCUGCGGCGACUGAGACGCGAGAACUGCCUGCUGAAGCAGCGGAAUGAGCUGCUGGAGGCUGAGAGCGCUGAACUGGCCGAUCGCCUGGUGCGUGGCCAGGUGUCCAGAGCUGAGGAGGAGGAAACUAGCUAUGCCAUUCAAACCGAGCUGAUGCAGCUGCGGCGCUCUUACUUGGAGGUUUCCCACCAGCUGGAAAAUGCCAAUGAGGAGGUGCGCGGCUUGAGUCUGCGGCUGCAGGAGAAUAAUGUAUCCAUCGACAGCAACAACUCCCGGCAGUCGUCCAUUGACGAGCUCUGCAUGAAGGAGGAGGCUCUGAAGCAGCGCGACGAGAUGGUCUCGUGUCUCCUAGAGGAGCUGGUGAAAGUACGCCAAGGUCUGGCCGAAAGUGAGGAUCAGAUUAGGAAUCUCAAGGCCAAGGUGGAGGAGCUGGAGGAGGAUAAGAAGACGCUGCGGGAGACGACGCCCGACAAUUCAGUGGCCCAUCUGCAGGACGAACUGAUUGCUAGCAAACUUCGCGAGGCCGAGGCCUCACUCUCGCUCAAGGAUCUCAAGCAGCGGGUGCAGGAGCUGAGUAGCCAGUGGCAGCGUCAGCUGGCCGAGAAUCAGCGCAGCGAAAGUGAACGCACCACCAAUGCUGUGGAUUCCACACCCAAAAAGCUGCUGACCAACUUCUUUGACAGCUCGAAGAGUAGUGAGCAUACCCAGAAGCUGGAGGAAGAGCUGAUGACCACACGCAUUCGGGAAAUGGAAACGUUGACUGAGCUCAAGGAGCUAAGACUUAAGGUCAUGGAGCUGGAGACACAGGUUCAGGUGUCCACCAAUCAGUUGAGGCGGCAGGAUGAGGAGCACAAGAAGCUCAAGGAGGAACUCGAGAUGGCCGUGACCAGGGAGAAGGAUAUGUCGAACAAGGCGCGUGAGCAGCAGCACAGAUACUCCGAUCUGGAAUCUCGCAUGAAGGAUGAGCUGAUGAAUGUGAAAAUCAAAUUUACCGAGCAAAGCCAAACGGUGGCUGAACUGAAACAGGAAAUUUCCCGACUAGAGACCAAGAACUCGGAGAUGCUCGCCGAGGGUGAACUGCGCGCCAAUCUGGAUGACUCGGAUAAGGUGCGCGACCUGCAGGACAGGCUGGCCGACAUGAAGGCGGAGUAUCCCACGCCAAUAACCAGCCCCGACACUGAGCCGUGGAAAUGGAUAAGCUAAACUAAUUCUUAACACAAACUGAAAAACUGAAAAUGAAAACCAAAACCAAUUGAAUGAAAAAAACGAAACUUAACGAGCAAAAUUACUAAAACAAAAGAAAAAAAAACUAAAAAUUAAACAAAAAAAAAAAGAAGAUAUUUAAAAGGCAAAUUAGCGAAACCCAAUUUGAAGACACAAUUUAUCCUCUAAUCUCUCUCAAAGUACACAAAAUCCCGAAACAAAAACCAAACUCAAGCAGCAGGCCAAGCUACCAACAUACCCAGCUGACGGCGUUAAAGAGUCGCGGCAAAUUCCCUGGCACCAAGCUGCGCAGCUCGUCGAUUCAAUCCAUAGAAUCCACCGAGAUUGAUUUCAAUGAUCUGAAUAUGGUGAG